GACGAACGCUGGCGGCGUGCUUAACACAUGCAAGUCGAACGAUGAAGCCUAGCUUGCUAGGUGGAUUAGUGGCGAACGGGUGAGUAAUACGUGAGUAACCUACCUUUAACUCUGGGAUAAGCCUGGGAAACUGGGUCUAAUACCGGAUACGACCAAUCUCCGCAUGGGGUGUUGGUGGAAAGCGUUAUGUAAUGGUUAUAGAUGGGCUCACGGCCUAUCAGCUUGUUGGUGAGGUAACGGCUCACCAAGGCGACGACGGGUAGCCGGCCUGAGAGGGUGACCGGCCACACUGGGACUGAGACACGGCCCAGACUCCUACGGGAGGCAGCAGUGGGGAAUAUUGCACAAUGGGCGCAAGCCUGAUGCAGCGACGCCGCGUGAGGGAUGACGGCCUUCGGGUUGUAAACCUCUGUUAGCAGGGAAGAAGAGAAAUUGACGGUACCUGCAGAGAAAGCGCCGGCUAACUACGUGCCAGCAGCCGCGGUAAUACGUAGGGCGCGAGCGUUGUCCGGAAUUAUUGGGCGUAAAGAGCUUGUAGGCGGUUUGUCGCGUCUGCUGUGAAAGGCCGGGGCUUAACCCCGUGUAUUGCAGUGGGUACGGGCAGACUAGAGUGCAGUAGGGGAGACUGGAACUCCUGGUGUAGCGGUGGAAUGCGCAGAUAUCAGGAAGAACACCGAUGGCGAAGGCAGGUCUCUGGGCUGUAACUGACGCUGAGAAGCGAAAGCAUGGGGAGCGAACAGG
rnacentral:rRNA from 1 species